GUCGAGAAUUUUUCACAAUGGGCGCAAGCCUGAUGGAGCGACGCCGCGUGGGGGAUGAAUGGCUUCGGCCCGUAAACCCCUGUCAUUCGCGAGCAAACCUUGUUAUUUAAAAGAUGACGAGCUGAUAGUAGCGGAAGAGGAAGGGACGGCUAACUCUGUGCCAGCAGCCGCGGUAAUACAGAGGUCCCAAGCGUUGUUCGGAUUCACUGGGCGUAAAGGGUGCGUAGGUGGUGAGGUAAGUCGGAUGUGAAAUCUCGGAGCUCAACUCCGAAAUGGCAUUGGAAACUACCUUGCUCGAGGAUUGGAGGGGGGACUGGAAUUCUCGGUGUAGCAGUGAAAUGCGUAGAUAUCGAGAGGAACACCAGUGGCGAAGGCGAGUCCCUGGACAACUCCUGACACUGAGGCACGAAAGCUAGGGGAGCAAACAGGAUUAGAAACCCCUGUAGUCC
rnacentral:rRNA from 1 species